rnacentral:rRNA from 1 species
GUGGGGAAUAUUGGACAAUGGGGGCAACCCUGAUCCAGCAAUGCCGCGUGUGUGAAGAAGGUCUUCGGAUCGUAAAGCACUUUCGACGGGGACGAUGAUGACGGUACCCGUAGAAGAAGCCCCGGCUAACUUCGUGCCAGCAGCCGCGGUAAUACGAAGGGGGCUAGCGUUGCUCGGAAUUACUGGGCGUAAAGGGCGCGUAGGCGGCUCUGUUAGUCAGGCGUGAAAUUCCUGGGCUUAACCUGGGGACUGCGCUUGAUACUGCGGAGCUUGAGGCCGAGAGAGGGUGGUGGAAGUCCCAGUGUAGAGGUGAAAUUCGUAGAUAUUGGGAAGAACACCGGUGGCGAAGGCGACCACCUGGCUCGGUACUGACGCUGAGGCGCGACAGCGUGGGGAGCAAACAGGAUUAGAAACCCCUGUAGUCC